GCUCAGGAUGAACGCUGGCGGCGUGCUUAACACAUGCAAGUCGAACGAAGCACUUUAUUUGAUUUCCUUCGGGACUGAUUAUUUUGUGACUGAGUGGCGGACGGGUGAGUAACGCGUGGGUAACCUGCCUUGUACAGGGGGAUAACAGUUGGAAACGGCUGCUAAUACCGCAUAAGCGCACAGCAUCGCAUGAUGCAGUGUGAAAAACUCCGGUGGUAUAAGAUGGACCCGCGUUGGAUUAGCUAGUUGGUGAGGUAACGGCCCACCAAGGCGACGAUCCAUAGCCGACCUGAGAGGGUGACCGGCCACAUUGGGACUGAGACACGGCCCAAACUCCUACGGGAGGCAGCAGUA
rnacentral:rRNA from 1 species